CAGCCGCCGCGGUAAAACGAAGGGUGCAAGCGUUACUCGGAAUUACUGGGCGUAAAGCGCACGUAGGCGGCUUUGUAAGUUAGAGGUGAAAGCCUGGAGCUCAACUCCAGAAUUGCCUUUAAGACUGCAUCGCUUGAAUCCAGGAGAGGUGAGUGGAAUUCCGAGUGUAGAGGUGAAAUUCGUAGAUAUCGGAAGGAACACCUGUGGCGAAAGCGGCUCACUGGACCAUAACUGACGCUGAUGCACGAAAGCUAGGGGAGCAAACAGGAUUAGAUACCCCAGUAGUCCCUGUCUCUUAUAC
rnacentral:rRNA from 1 species